UCGUAAAUGGCGAUUUUUAAAAAAAAACGGCAUUUUUCUGCGCUCAUAUUUUCUUAAAAUGACAAAAGACGCUGUGUUUACCAGCCGCUUUACGGCAGUCGUAAUACUAUAGAUUUCCAUGAUGUAAGCGAUGCAGUAAUCAAUGGAGCGUGGUGCUGACUGCAGACUACCGCAAAGUGGCAUGCAAUUGUGAUAAUUGCGAUUAUCUGGGAUGUUGUUACAAGUUAUCUUAACUGGUCGGCAGUUUUAUUGCUUCAUAGAUAAGACAACAUUGAAAUAAACCGACCGACUUUGCGCUUAAAUGUGAAGUGUUUGUCUCAGUGUUCGAAGCCGAUUCCAAGACCGUUACAUUGACAACAAUAUGACACUCAAAAAGAUUACCAGAAAGCUGCAUGCUGAAGCAACCAAGCUGUGGCAACAUAUUCAGAAGGUGUCAAUCAACAAGACUUACAACUGAUUGAAUGUGCCUUUAUUUCAUGAACAAUGUUAAAUGUGUUGUUAUUAUUAAUACUACUGUUAUUAAAUCAAUUCCUUUAACAUACUGUUCAA